rnacentral:rRNA from 1 species
CGAACGAUGAACCUCCUUCGGGAGGGGAUUAGUGGCGAACGGGUGAGUAACACGUGGGCAAUCUGCCCUGCACUCUGGGACAAGCCCUGGAAACGGGGUCUAAUACCGGAUACUGACCCGCUUGGGCAUCCAAGCGGUUCGAAAGCUCCGGCGGUGCAGGAUGAGCCCGCGGCCUAUCAGCUUGUUGGUGAGGUAAUGGCUCACCAAGGCGACGACGGGUAGCCGGCCUGAGAGGGCGACCGGCCACACUGGGACUGAGACACGGCCCAGACUCCUACGGGAGGCAGCAGUGGGGAAUAUUGCACAAUGGGCGAAAGCCUGAUGCAGCGACGCCGCGUGAGGGAUGACGGCCUUCGGGUUGUAAACCUCUUUCAGCAGGGAAGAAGCGAAAGUGACGGUACCUGCAGAAGAAGCGCCGGCUAACUACGUGCCAGCAGCCGCGGUAAUACGUAGGGCGCGAGCGUUGUCCGGAAUUAUUGGGCGUAAAGAGCUCGUAGGCGGCUUGUCACGUCGGUUGUGAAAGCCCGGGGCUUAACCCCGGGUCUGCAGUCGAUACGGGCAGGCUAGAGUUCGGUAGGGGAGAUCGGAAUUCCUGGUGUAGCGGUGAAAUGCGCAGAUAUCAGGAGGAACACCGGUGGCGAAGGCGGAUCUCUGGGCCGAUACUGACGCUGAGGAGCGAAAGCGUGGGGAGCGAACAGGAUUAGAUACCCUGGUAGUCCACGCCGUAAACGGUGGG